AGCCCAAUCUGUAUCUAUCGCAU
rnacentral:snRNA from 1 species